rnacentral:lncRNA from 1 species
GAGGAGGCUCACCCACAGGUUUUCUGGGAUUCGUCAUGUUAGAAAUAUGGGAUAGUUGCAUAGAUGAAUUUCAAAAUAAAUUUUGAAUACAGUGAAAACUAGAUUAAACCCCUUUAACCCUAUCAUGCAUCCGAUCAAAUCAAAGAACUACCCAUGCCCAGUUCCAUAACAUGCAUAAACUGAAAAAGGAAUACAUAUAUCACAUC